rnacentral:rRNA from 1 species
GACGGAGGGUGCAAGCGUUGUUCGGAAUUACUGGGCGUAAAGGGCGCGUAGGCGGUCUGUUAAGUUCGGUGUGAAAGCCCCCGGCUUACCCGGGGAACUGCGCCGGAAACCGACAGACUCGAGUACCGGAGAGGAGGGUGGAAUUCCUGGUGUAGCGGUGAAAUGCGUAGAUAUCAGGAGGAACACCGGUGGCGAAGGCGGCCCUCUGGACGGAUACUGACGCUGAGGCGCGAAAGCGUGGGGAGCGAACAGG